ACGCGCCUCUGUUGGCCGCGACCCCGUGUCUGCGGGACGCAGGUGUCUGCCCCGCCAGCGAGCUCUGGGCGGCCUGAUCCUGUGUCGGGCCGGGAGUCCCUGUGUCCUGACGACGCCGGGUCCCAGGAGUCGGGCAGGCAUCUCCUGCUGAGACUCGGGAAGCCGCUUGCGGCUGCUGUUUGGUUGAAAGAUGGAAUAACGGGCGUGCGGGCGGGGCUGCAUCCCGGGGCCCCAUCGCGGGGCGCCCAUCGCGGGGGCUCCAUCACCGGGGCUCCGUCACCGGACUCCAUCCCGGGGCUGCAUCCCGGGGCUCCAUCCUGGGACGCCCAUCCCGGGGCUCCAUUCCGGGGCUCCAUCGUGGGGCUCCCAUCCCGGGGCUGCAUCCCGGGGCGCCCAUCCCGGGGCUCCAUCCCAGGGGCUCCAUCACCGGGGCUCCGUCACGGACUCCAUCCCGGGGCUGCAUCCCGGGGCUCCAUCCUGGGACGCCCAUCCCGGGGCUCCAUCGUGGGGCUCCCAUCCCGGGGCUGCAUCCCGGGGCGCCCAUCCCGGGGCUCCAUCCCAGGGGCUCCAUCACCGGGGCUCCGUCACCGGACUCCAUCCCGGGGCUGCAUCCCGGGGCUCCAUUCUGGGACGCCCAUCCCGGGGCUCCAUCCCGGGGCCCCAUCGCGAGGUUCCAUCACGGGGGCUGCGUCCCGGGGCUCCAUCCCAGGGGCUCCAUCGCGGGGCGCCCAUCGCGGGGGCUCCAUCCCGGGGCUCCAUCGCGGGGCUCCAUCACCGGGGCUCUGUCACCGGACUCCAUCCUGGGACUCCCAUCGCAGGGGCUCCAUACCGGGGCUCCAUCCCGGGGCUCCAUCGCGGGGCUCCCCCAAGGUGCCACGGGAUGCUGUAGCGGCCUUCAGGUGCUGGCGCUGUCUGCGUCCCACUCAGAGGACGCUCUCAAGCGGUUCCUUACAGUUGUCUCAGCCACCGAUUCCAAGCACUUGGGCCUUCCAUAUGUUUUUUUUUUUUUUUUCAAUAUGGGUUUAUUUAUUUAUUUAUUCAUUCAUUCAUUCAUUCAUGAUAGAGAGAGAGGCAGAGACACAGGCAGAGGGAGAAGCAGGCUCCAUGCAGGGAGCGGGAGGUGGGAGGUGGGACUGGAUCCCGGGACCCAGGGGUCACGCCCUGGGACAAAGGCAGGCGCCCAACUGCUGA
rnacentral:lncRNA from 12 species